GAAGAAUACAACGUCACACUGAGUUAAACGUAAAUGUGGACUUUAGUGGUAGAAAAUAAAAAGUGGUGAUAAUAAAAGAAAAUAAUUAUUCAGUUCUUGAUGAAAUAGGAAAGAAGCCCUUUAAAAAUAUAACACAACAUGCUGUUUUUCACAAUUGGCCUGAAUUCUAUGCAUCUUCCUACUUUUUUUUUUUUUUUUUUACACUAAUUAUUUUUUCCUUUUUUUUUUUAACACGUUUAUGGCUUAUUCUGUCAGUAAACUUGAAGGAUCAAAAACAUUGUCAUGAGGUACACACAGCUGUCUCCCACCCAAACUGAAUCAUGGUACACUACCAUAAAGGAACCAUUUGGGGUUACGCCUCUUAAAGUACAAUUAAUUUGUGACAGCCCUUGAAAGGCAGAAACAAAAAUCUCAAUUACUGUUAAUUAUGCAAUUCUUUGUAUUUGUCUUUAGGAGACCUCAAGAACCACUCAGCCCCCAGUAUCAAGCAGCACCAGGGAAGCUGAAUGCACUGGAAUGACUUCCAAAGAAAGCCCAGUGGAAGCCUUUCAAACACAAGAGGUUUCUUGUGAGGAGCAAGUUACUUCGGAGACAAAUGGGGCUUCUACAUUGAUGCAGCACGCUGAUGAAACAGUAACCAAUGCAGCUAUGAAUGAGGAUGUCCCAAAGAUUUCUAUGCAGGUUUUAAAACAGCAGUUUGAAAGGACAGCUCAGGAAAAGGUUGUUCCCUCUGACAGAGAGGCUGCAACACCUACACAAGUUGGACAGGUCUGUGUUUUUAA
rnacentral:lncRNA from 1 species